GUGAGGGUGACCGAGCGUGGGGAGGAAGCGUGGAGCGAAACCGUGAGCCGAUGUACAAGAACCGGAUAGAAGGCGGUGCCGAUCAGGGCAAGCGGGCGCGUAACCGCGAAGCUCUCGUGGUCAAGGAUUAUUAGGUGCGGUAAAUCCGGCGGUUGUGCGGUGAAGGAUUGCGUUC
rfam:Candidatus Burkholderia crenata strain TZHbot9 BCREchr_ctg117, whole genome shotgun sequence.